CCUACGGGAGGCAGCAGUGAGGAAUAUUGGUCAAUGGACGAGAGUCUGAACCAGCCAAGUAGCGUGAAGGAUGACUGCCCUAUGGGUUGUAAACUUCUUUUAUAUGGGAAUAAAACGUUCCACGUGUGGGAUUUUGUAUGUACCAUAUGAAUAAGGAUCGGCUAACUCCGUGCCAGCAGCCGCGGUAAUACGGAGGAUCCGAGCGUUAUCCGGAUUUAUUGGGUUUAAAGGGAGCGUAGGUGGAUUGUUAAGUCAGUUGUGAAAGUUUGCGGCUCAACCGUAAAAUUGCAGCUGAAACUGGCAGUCUUGAGUACAGUAGAGGUGGGCGGAAUUCGUGGUGUAGCGGUGAAAUGCUUAGAUAUCACGAAGAACUCCGAUUGCGAAGGCAGUUCACUGGACUGCAACUGACACUGAGGCUCGAAAGUGUGGGUAUCAAACAGGAUUAGAUACCCCGGUAGUC
rnacentral:rRNA from 1 species